rnacentral:lncRNA from 1 species
UUUAUUUUACAUGUAGUUAAACAAAAAUUACAAUGUUAUGAAUCAAAUUACAACAUUGAGAACAAAUUUACCAAAUUUGUUUACACUAUUUACGUGAAGUUAAACAAAAUUACAACUAUGAGAAUAAUUUGUUCAAAAAAUUUGUAAAAUGGUUGUACAUUUUGUAAUUACAAUUAUUAGAACAAAAUUACAAACAAUACGACUUAACAUUACCACUUUGACUACAAAUAUGUUAUCACAUUUGUAAAUAUGGGUAUCACAUACGGGUAGGUACCAUAGAAUUUUCUAUCGAACCAUGCUCCAACUUAAAGAGAGCUAUAAUAUAUUAGAAGGGUGUUAAUUAGUUUAAUUUCUGCUUGUUCUUUUCAAGUCUUCAUUUCAAAUAUCUAUCUAUUAUAGGUCUAUCAUAAUCAAUCGAUCUUCAAUACAAGUAAAAUUUAAUGACAAACUCUUAAAAAAUAGAAAAGAAAAUAAUGUACAUGUAAUUAUAAAAUAUACUAAUAAAAACUUAGGGAGCAGAUUCUAUGUACCAAGGUACACUUGCACCAUUAAUAUGUAAGUCAUGAUGAUUAGAGCUACGAAUAUAGAAUGAAGACUGGAGACUGGAGACCCUAAACUUCUUCCUAUGUGUUGGGGUAGAAAUUGAAUGAGGAUCUAAGAGCUUGCCGUUGUUGGGUUUGAUGAUCCGAUCUUCCCCUUUAGGGUUGCAGGACUAGGCCCAAAGUCUUCCUAGGAUAGACUUUGUUGUGAUGGAGACGCUCCGAGCGUGUAAUAUCAAUACUAAGAGGACUUAGUAGUGUGCAUGGUGUGGGAGCUAGGAUCUUGCAAGUGUAACAGAAUGCAUGCUCAUCGUGAAAAAAGUUUAAUGUAGGUGAGGGAUUGUAAAGUAUGGUGGUGGUGGUGUUUAGAGGUGUCUGAAGGGUGUUUGGAAAGAUGGGUAUGGUGGUGAUGAUCUAGGGUGUCUAGAAGGAUAGGUAUGAUGAUGGUGGUCUAGAGACGGUUAAGCAUGAGGAGCUUGGUAGUGGUUUUUGCAUGUAGGUAUUGUGUCUCAAUCCCACUGUAGCUUCCUUUAAAUUAAAUUGAGGUUGAAGACUGAGGGUAAAAAAUGACCCGUGACUCUCUAAUUUUAGCAAAGGUCAGAACCCCCUUCUCACUGUCAUCGUUCGAGCCUUAAGCUAAAAAACGUAAAGGUGGCAGUGGUUCUAAGGCAUCCUUUCUCGAUUUCUUACCAAGUUAUUUUUGGUUAACGGGUUCAAACAAGACAUGGCCUUGGGUUUGCCUUAACACUACCAGAAGAAAGACCUUUAGCCGCGAAAAAAAAAAAAAAACAAGGCCGCGAAACAAUUUUUCGUGUACUUUAGCCGACGAAAUUUUCCUUCGUCGGCUAAAUUAUAUUUUCGUCGGCUAAAGAAUUUUUUUUUGUCGGCUAAAGUCUGUGACUUUAGCCGACGACUUUAAACUUUCU